CGAAAGGUCGCGCGCUGCUCUGUAGCCUACUGAUGCGCUUUCCCCUCCCAACCAGCGUCGCCUCUGCGUGCGGUGACCACACCUGCAACCGGGAAAGUCCGCUAGACCUGCGCACGGUUCAGUGAGCGCGAGAGGCACACACAAUCACCAUCGGAGGCUCCACAUCGGAGAAAGGUAGUCAGUCUAGUCAGAAUUAUGUUGAUUAUUGAGACUAUACUGUUUCAAACCGUCCUUUCACGCACCAAACGCGCGGCAUAUGGUUUGGAUUUGGAAAUACCUCCCGGCGCAGGAACGGAGAUUUGUGGAGUCGUUCCGUUUCGAGGAUGAAUAGCGACUGGGAAUGUGCCAGCACCACGCACAGUUUGUGACUGAUGCAGGCAAGCUACUGUAGAGCCAGGUGGCUGAGGUCUCGGCAGGGAGUCAGUGCAAGCUGAGAGGGGUAGUAACAUCACCGUCAACAUCACUAGGUCCUGCUGAAGAGAGAUUGAAAACAACAUCAGCCCUGCCUAGCCUCAUCCCCAGACGCCUGCCUGCCUCCAGCUCCUAGCAGCUCCAGGCUCCCGGCCCCCAUGGAGCUUGGCACUGAUGCCCAGCGCAAAAACAGAUGGUGCCAAUCCUGACCCCUCUCGUCACCGAUGAACAGGAAGAGGAGGAGGCACUGUUGCCACGGCAACUCCUGGACACACAUCCUCUCCAAGGGCCUCAGGCGUCCAAUUCCAUGCCUGCUUGGACUGUAUGAGAAUGUGCUGAUGGACCAGGACCAGUGCAGGAACGUGACAUCAGUUUACUGAAAGCCAAUGAAACUCCAUCCUGUCGGGGACUGCUCCUCUUUCCCUGCUGGCUGGCCUGGGCUCUCAGGCCUGGAUGAAUUAUUAAAGGGACCCCUCAGUACUGCUGGUAGCUCUAAAGCCCUCUUUAAACACCUGCUGAUCGGAGGGAGUGGUGUGUCGGUUCAAACCCUGCAGAGAGGAAGUAGGGACAAGCCGUUUCAGCCGUUUGACUGCAGAUCAAAGCAAAGCUUCUGCAACUGUCUGGCUCCCUUGGCUCUCAUCUCCUCCUGUCAGAAGUAAAACAACUACCAUUUUGUUUAUUUUGUUCUUAUGUGAACCCAUGAAUAAUUGAUCUACAGACUGAUUAUAAUGGCAAAUUCCUAUUUUAAAAGAACAGAACUUCAACAUAAAAUGAGACACUAAUGACUUGGUGGGAUGAAUUCAGCAGGGCCAAAUAACAUAGGGAAUACAGUGUCCAUAAAGC
ensembl:lncRNA